rnacentral:tRNA from 2 species
UAGAGCGCGCGCUUGAUAAGCGUGAGGUCGGAAGUUCAAGUCUUCCCAGGCCCACCACUUGAUCGAGUGCAUGUGUCUCUCAAGCUUAAGCCUGUAGCAUUCGUCUUCUGGUUACGGGGCCAUAGCUCAGCUGGGAGAGCGCGUGCUUUGCAAGCAUGAGGUCGUCGGUUCGAUCCCGUCUGGCUCCACCAGCCUUCGCUGGCAGAGGCCAGCUACGGCUCGGCAAGCCGGCAGCGAAGGCUGCCACGCCGAAGCUUUGGCGCAGGCGGGCUGAUGAACGGCCCUCGUUAAUUCGUCCGCGAAACAUCAAUUCGCGUGCAUCAUUCGCAAUCGAAUGUGCACUGCGUGUUUUCUGACAUCGUAAAGAGGAGAUCGAUCCGAGUUGGGUCGCAUGGAAAUUCUGUGCGCAUCCUUCACUAUCUCCGGGUCAUUUCGGCGCUCGCGUCUUUUGCAGACUAGCAUCUGCAGGAUAUGCGGGUUGUAAAUGACUCUGUUAGCGAAGCCUGACCGCCUCGCUAUCGGUUCGAUCUUACGAA